AGAGUUUGAUCCUGGCUCAGAAUCAACGCUGGCGGCGUGCCUAACACAUGCAAGUCGAACGCGAAAGCUCCGCAAGGGGCAAGUAGAGUGGCAAACGGGUGAGUAACACGUGGGUGACCUGCCUUCGAGCGGGGGAUAACGUCCCGAAAGGGACGCUAAUACCGCAUAACAUCCUGCCUUUGAAGAGGUGGAGAUCAAAGCCGGGGAUCGCAAGACCUGGCACUCGGAGAGGGGCCCGCGUCUGAUUAGCUAGUUGGUGGGGUAAUGGCCUACCAAGGCAACGAUCAGUAUCCGGCCUGAGAGGGCGGACGGACACACUGGGACUGAGACACGGCCCAGACUCCUACGGGAGGCAGCAGUGGGGAAUUGUUCGCAAUGGGCGCAAGCCUGACGACGCAACGCCGCGUGGAGGAUGAAGAUCUUCGGGUCGUAAACUCCUGNUCGAAUGGGACGAAUGGGUUGCGGGUUAACAGCCCGUGACAUUGACGGUACCGUUAAAGGAAACCCCGGCUAAUUCCGUGCCAGCAGCCGCGGUAAUACGGGGGGGGUAAGCCUUGUUCGGAAUUACUGGGCGUAAAGGGCUCGUANGCGGCCAACUAAGUCAGACGUGAAAUCCCUCANCUUAACUGGGGAACUGCGUCUGAUACUGGAUGGCUUGGAUCCGGGAGAGGGAUGCGGAAUUCCAGGUGUAGCGGUGAAAUGCGUAGAUAUCUGGAG
rnacentral:rRNA from 1 species